GAGUGAUGAAAGACUUCAUUUAUCUUUGUUAUGUAAAGCUUCAAAUAAAAAUCUUUGUUCACAGAAAUGGGUGGUACAAACUAUCUGUGAUAGGGCUAUAGCUGGAAAAGUUCAUGAGAACCAUUAUUUCUACUACUGGUUUGGACUGCCAUCCAGUGUCCAGAGUGAUAAUGGACUUGUCUUUGUAGCUGAAGUUAUACAACAAGUUGCCUCCCCACCUUGAAACUUCACUGAAUCCAUUCCAAGCAGGAGAUAAGGUGCUUCUGAAGGUGUGGAAGGAAAAAGGACCAGAACAACAACUUGAAGAAAAGUUGAAAGGAUCCUAGGAUGUGUUAUUAACCACCCAUACAUCCUUUAAGUUGACAGAUAUAAGACUGUGGGUGCACCACACUAGAGUAAAGAAGUGCCAGACGAUUUCUAGUCACAGGCACCUUCUCCUGAUAAGUGGGAAAGCAGACCAUUGGAGGGUUUUAAGCUGCUCUUCAAAAAACAGCCAUGAGAUACAUCACAUUGCUAAUUCAUCUGUAUUCCUUACAUUUUCCAGUUAUUGCCUGACUGGACAACUCCCAACUCCCUGGUAUGCAUUGCACAAACCAUUGCUAAUGCAAUGCAAGAUGUGGACUGCUGGAUUUGUCUUCCUUGAGCUCAGUCCACUCCGGGUCAUGGGGACCCCCUGGUGCAUCCUGUAUCAGACUUUACCCAAGUCCCUGAUGGGGACUGGGUCCCUAAGUGAGACCUUCGGGCUCGCAACCUUAUGUACCACAUAUGCAUCAGUCACUUCCCUCAUGAGAACUUUUCUAAAAUUGCCUGUCUUAUGCUUCCUCUCUCCACCAGUACUGUUCUAUAUUGGAUCCAGGGCACCCAGUAGAUACCUGAAUACUUUGAAAUGACUUUGCCUCCACCCUCAAGGCAACUCCCUAUGUGUGUUCAGCAGUCCACCAGAUACCCAGUGGAAGAAAUUAAAUCCAUGGUUGACUAUUCAUUUCUGGAGAGAUCCUGGAUGGAAUGAACUGGAUUCAAAGUUGGUUACUAUUUCUAGACUAAUAGCUCUGUCAGCUACUACACUCACAAUGAAGGUGAAAGACUUAAGAGUAACCCCAGUUCCUGGAAGUCUGGAUAUACAACUAAGGGGUAGAGUUCUUGUGUCCUGCAGCUGGCUGGCAAUAAAGAAGAAAAACCUCUGCAUCAGCAGAAAAGCUUCCUGGCACCAGAAUCCACUAUCCACCAGGGAGGAAGACAAUCAAGGACAUCUAACCUGUGGAUUCCCUUAUGUCACCAUCCUCCUCCCUGCAAACAGUCUCACAAAGCCAAACGCAGGCUGGUGGGAAAGCGCCGACCAGCAAGGCCACAGGCUCCCCCUCCCUAUAAGCAGCCAUAUUCCUCACAACCUUUAAAACCCCUUAUCCACUUCUUAAUGGGGUGCCAGCAGUUCCUAAGGCACUAUCCUGCUGCUGCUCCCUUUGCCUAGCAAAAAAAAAAGUAAGCUUUUUUUUCUUUUCAUUUUCACCCAAAACUCUGUUCUCGUUAUUUGGAUUGGUACUGAGUUCAGAGACCGAACUUUCGGUAACAUAACUAGAAAGCUCAGGAGAAGCAUAAGUCCUGUAGAGGAUAACAGCACUAUAAUUACAAUUUUCAUUGGAGACCUGAUCUAGCUAUUUCAUUCUAAACUUCUGAUUCCAACUAGAAGAUAAAUCUUAAGUGGGCAAUAGAAACUUCUGGGCCAUACAUGAUGUCAUUCACUUCUCCAAAUAUAGGACUUUUAUAGGAAAUGCUUUCAUAUCACAUUUCUGGUCCUCUAAUACCUUAGAUCAGCCUCUCUAGAAUCAUGCUCUGUGAUGGGGAUUCUCCUUCAAGUGUUUUAUAAAGAUGAUGCUCUGAAAGAAAAGUGUUAGGGAAGAAAGGAAGUAGGACAGGGAGGGAAAAGAGCUAAGGAAGAAUGUGUUUUUGCUAGAAUGUAAUGUGAACCCAUCCACACAGGUAUUUCUGGAACACGAAUUUUACCAUUGAGUAAAUUUUAUGAUCAGACAAGAAGAAUGCCCUUUUGUUAGCCCUGCUCAGCAUCCCAGUAUCAAUCAGUCAUUGACUGUAGGCUGUUUUAGUGAGCAAUUGUUGGAGGGACGGAGGAGAAGGAUUAUAAAAUCAUCUAGCCUUGAAUGCUUACUCAAGUUGAUCCAAGGACAAUUCUCAAGAGUGCAGCUGUGACCCAGCAGCAGCCUACCAUCAUGUCAGAUUAAAUGAAGAGGGGUAUAGCCAGCUAGGGGGAUGGGUGCACCAGGCCACUAAAGGAAAUCUGGGACAGAGUCUCCUAUACUAAAUAAAUAUGGCAUGAUAUUCCUGUUAUGCUUAGCCACUUUUAAAGAGGAAACAAAAAUAAUAAAG
rnacentral:lncRNA from 1 species